rnacentral:rRNA from 1 species
GAUGAACGCUGGCGGCGUGCCUAAUACAUGCAAGUCGAGCGAACGGACGAGAAGCUUGCUUCUCUGAUGUUAGCGGCGGACGGGUGAGUAACACGUGGAUAACCUACCUAUAAGACUGGGAUAACUUCGGGAAACCGGAGCUAAUACCGGAUAAUAUUUUGAACCGCAUGGUUCAAAAGUGAAAGACGGUCUUGCUGUCACUUAUAGAUGGAUCCGCGCUGCAUUAGCUAGUUGGUAAGGUAACGGCUUACCAAGGCAACGAUGCAUAGCCGACCUGAGAGGGUGAUGGGCCACGCUGGAACUGAGACACGGUCCAGACUCCUACGGGAGGCAGCAGUAGGGAAUCUUCCGCAAUGGGCGAAAGCCUGACGGAGCAACGCCGCGUGAGUGAUGAAGGUCUUCGGAUCGUAAAACUCUGUUAUUAGUGAAGAACAUAUGUGUAAGUAACUGUGCACAUCUUGACGGUACCUAAUCAGAAAGCCACGGCUAACUACGUG